GGUUUAGGGUUUAGUGUUGAUAGUUUAGGGUUUAGUGUUGGUGGUUUAGGGUUUAGAGUUGAAGUUUAGGGUUUAGAGUUUAGGGUCCAUAGUUGAUGUUUUAGGGUUUGGAGUUGAAUGUUUAGGGUUUAGGGCUUAGAGUUGAUGUUUCAGGGUUUAGGGUUCGUAUUUAAAAAAAAAUAAGGUUUAGGAUUGUUGGUUUAGGGUUUUGGGUUUGUAUUUCAAAAAAGAAAUAUGGUUUAGGAUUGAUAGUUUAGGGUUUAGAGUUGAGUUUUAGGGUUUAGGGUUUGAAUUUCGAAAUUGUAUAAUUCG
rnacentral:lncRNA from 1 species